rnacentral:rRNA from 1 species
GAUGAACGCUGGCGGCGUGCCUAAUACGUGCAAGUCGAGCGAAUGGAUUAAGAGCUUGCUCUUAUGAAGUUAGCGGCGGACGGGUGAGUAACACGUGGGUAACCUGCCCAUAAGACUGGGAUAACUCCGGGAAACCGGGGCUAAUACCGGAUAAUAUUUUGAACUGCAUGGUUCAAAAUUGAAAGGCGGCUUCGGCUGUCACUUAUGGAUGGACCCGCGUCGCAUUAGCUAGUUGGUGAGGUAACGGCUCACCAAGGCAACGAUGCGUAGCCGAACUGAGAGGGUGAUCGGCCACACUGGGACUGAGACACGGCCCAGACUCCUACGGGAGGCAGCAGUAGGGAAUCUUCCGCAAUGGACGAAAGUCUGACGGAGCAACGCCGCGCGAGUGAUGAAGGCUUUCGGGUCGUAAAACUCUGUUGUUAGGGAAGAACAAGUGCUAGUUGAAUAAGCUGGCACCUUGACGGUACCUAACCAGAAAGCCACGGCUAACUACGUGCCAGCCGCCGCAGUAA